rnacentral:rRNA from 1 species
AGGAUUAGAUACCCUGGUAGUCUACGCCGUAAACGAUGUGCACUUGAUGGUGGGACCGUUCGGUUUCACUGUCGGAGCUAACGCAUUAAGUGCACCGCCUGGGGAGUACGCCGGCAACGGUUAAACUCAAAGGAAUUGACGGGGGCCCGCACAAGCGGUGGAGCAUGUGGUUUAAUUCGAUGAUACGCGAGGAACCUUACCAGGGCUUGACAUAUACAUGAGUUCCGUAGAGAUACGGGUUUUCCUUCGGGGACAUGUAUACAGGUGUUGCAUGGCUGUCGUCAGCUCGUGCUG